AUUGAACGCUGGCGGCAUGCUUUACACAUGCAAGUCGAACGGACUUAGGUGCUUGCACCUAGGUUAGUGGCGAACGGGUGAGUAAUGCAUCGGAACGUACCGUGUAAUGGGGGAUAACGCAGCGAAAGUUGUGCUAAUACCGCAUACGAUCUACGGAUGAAAGCAGGGGAUCGCAAGACCUUGCGUUAUACGAGCGGCCGAUGUCGGAUUAGCUAGUUGGUAGGGUAAAGGCCUACCAAGGCAACGAUCCGUAGCGGGUCUGAGAGGAUGAUCCGCCACACUGGGACUGAGACACGGCCCAGACUCCUACGGGAGGCAGCAGUGGGGAAUUUUGGACAAUGGGCGCAAGCCUGAUCCAGCCAUGCCGCGUGAGUGAAGAAGG
rnacentral:rRNA from 1 species